rnacentral:misc_RNA from 1 species
AAGUCGUAACAAGGUUUCCGUAGGUGAACCUGCGGAAGGAUCAUUAUCGAGUUUUGAACGGGUUGUAGCUGGCCUCAAUACGGGGCAUGUGCACGCCUGGCUCAUCCACUCCUUAACCUCUGUGCACUUUUUGUAGGCUGGUUGAAAGGUGGGCUUCACUUCGCGGUGUUGCUCGCUGGAAGACCUGGUCUAUGUUUUACUACAAACGCUUCAGUUAUAGAAUGUUUAUCUUGCGUAUAACGCAUUUAUAUACAACUUUCAGCAACGGAUCUCUUGGCUCUC